rnacentral:rRNA from 2 species
CGAAUAGGGGCAACCCUUAGUAGAGCGGCGCACGGGUGCGUAACACGUGGAUAAUCUGCCUGGAUGCUCGGGAUAACCAGUCGAAAGAUUGGCUAAUACCGGAUAAGCCCACGGUUUCUUCGGAGACUGAGGGAAAAGGUGGCCUCUGUAUACAAGCUAUCACAACCAGAUGAGUCCGCGGCCCAUCAGCUAGUUGGCGGGGUAAUGGCCCACCAAGGCAACGACGGGUAGCUGGUCUGAGAGGACGAUCAGCCACACUGGAACUGAGACACGGUCCAGACUCCUACGGGAGGCAGCAGUGGGGAAUUUUGCGCAAUGGGCGAAAGCCUGACGCAGCAACGCCGCGUGUGUGAUGAAGGUCUUCGGAUUGUAAAGCACUUUCGACCGGGACGAAAACCCGUAGCCCAACACGCUACGGCUUGACGGUACCGGGAGAAGAAGCACCGGCUAACUCUGUGCCAGCAGCCGCGGUAAUACAGAGGGUGCAAGCGUUGUUCGGAAUUAUUGGGCGUAAAGCGCGUGUAGGCGGCGUGACAAGUCGGGUGUGAAAGCCCUCAGCUCAACUGAGGAAGUGCGCCCGAAACUGUCGUGCUUGAGUGCCGGAGAGGGUGGCGGAAUUCCCCAAGUAGAGGUGAAAUUCGUAGAUAUGGGGAGGAACACCGGUGGCGAAGGCGGCCACCUGGACGGUAACUGACGCUGAGACGCGAAAGCGUGGGGA